rnacentral:rRNA from 1 species
GCCGGUGCAAGUUAUCAUUGGAUUGCUGAACACUUUGGGGAAUGCCCGGCUGAUGCGGACGAUGAAACAGUGCAGCAGUAUACCAGGGCAUACUUGUGGUAUGUAGUCAGUCGGACUCUUUUCUCUGACGGCACUGGCGUGAACGCUUCCUUUAUGUGGCUUAAGUUGUUUGCUGGUGGGAGCCUGGACUCAGUUGGGGUACGGCGGCGUUGGCUUAUUUGUUUCGUCAGGUAA